CAUGAAAGAAAUGACCGAUUUCUUUAAACAUGAAUUUUUUAUCAUACAAAGUCUGAGUUUUAUUUUUAUAAACUCUUCCUUGGUACAGUAAAACGUUUUAAUGUUAGCAUAAUUUAAGCUAAAUCUCAGAAACGAUCUAGAAAGAUUCAAAAUCAGUUAAUUGUUUACUUGUAUAUGCUAGUGUAUGAUUUGUCGACAUCUUAUUUUGAAAACCGGAUGUUGUUUCACGUAGUUCUUUCCGCUAACUUUGUAAAACCGGAAGUUGUGUCACGUGAAUCCUGCCGCUAACUUUAUCAAAACCCUUGCGCGCUCCCGAUCGAAUGCGUUUACCGUGAACAUCAGUCUAUAGGUGCACAGAAAUUUAAGUGUCGGCUGAGUUGACCACGGAGAUCCGAGUGUCAGCUGAGUUGACCGCAGUCCAUAACGUCCGAGACGUUACAUCAUUGCGCCACCAAGGUCCUGCGAUGUCGGAUCAGAAGCAGCUAAAGUAGCCUAGCUUGUCUUGUCUGCAAGUGUUCAUUAUUCACAAAAGAGAGUAACGCGAGUAACGAACUCAUUUAAAUUUCAGUAAUUGUAACUGCGUUAGUUGAUUAAAAAAAUACUUCGUUACAUGCUCGUUACCGCUAAAAGUAAUGGAAUUACAGUAACGCGUUACUCCCAACACUGUUUAACCGCUACGGAGACGUCAGAGCCAGCGGAGCAUUUAAAAAAGUCCUGCCGAGAUCAGGCUGCUGUCGGCGGCCGCACAGCGCGCUGAGCGCCCGGCGCUCCGGAGCUCAGUGAACAGCAGGACCUCAAAUCUACGGCGCAGGUCUUUAUUAGGCUGAAUCAAAACAAACAGACCACAGAUUUUAUUGUUAAACUACUAACUUCUCGCCUGAAAACAUCCCAACAUGACAUUACUGACUCAACAACAGUAGUAUUUAUAACAAGUCAUCAGUCAGUUGGUUAUUUUCUCCUCCGCUAAUGUGUCCGGUGAAAUGCAUUCUGGGAUAUCUGCUGGCCAGAAUGUGCACGUCUCCUCUGAUGCAUUCUGGGUAAAGCGGGAAGAUCAAGUCACAUCCGGGUAUUUUGACCGUGCUUUGAGAGAAGCGGACUUUGAAUUGAGCUUUAACACCAAAACACGGAGACGUGUCUCGACCGUCGCUCCGACAAACACUUCGCUUCACUUUCACUUCCGGCGUGUGACGUCGAAGCCCCGCCUCUUCCGGCAGCUUGUUUGGGAGGUGGUGUUUCCUCCUGCAGGUGGAGACUUUACUGGAGUCACAGCUCUGCGGUGACGUCACUGUGAGCCCUCCCUUCCUUUCUCUCCGAGUCGCUGACCCAGAGGAGGAAGUUGAAUAUGUGCAGUCUGUUCGUGCCUUUAACCAACGCUCUGCUGACCCCUGCUGGCCACAGGAGGGAACACACCACCACUUUGGGGAUUUGAUGGGCAACGCUGCAGCUCCAAAAUAAAAACUCCAACAGUU